rnacentral:rRNA from 1 species
AACGUAGGGGACAAGCGUUUAUCCGGAUUUACUGGGCGUAAAGCGCCCGUAGGCGGCCUGACAAGUUGGACGUGAAAGCUCCUGGCUUAACUGGGAGAGGCCGUUCAAAAACUGUCAAGCUAGAGUCUGGAAGAGGAGAGCGGAAUUCCCGGUGUAGUGGUGGAAUGCGUAGAGAUCGGGAGGAACACCAGUGGCGAAAGCGGCUCUCUGGUCCAAAACUGACGCUGAGGGGCGAAAGCGUGGGGAGCGAACGGG